AGCAGCCGCGGUAAUUCCAGCUCCAAUAGCGUAUAUUAAAGUUGUUGCAGUUAAAAAGCUCGUAGUUGAAUUUCGGGAUUGGCGCAUCGGUCGUGCCUUACGGGGUAUGAACUGGUGCAGUCAAUUUCUCACCUUCUGGAGAACCGCGAUGUCCUUAAUUGGGUGCCGCGGGGAACCAGGACCUUUACUUUGAAAAAAUUAGAGUGUUUAAAGCAGGCAUUUUUGCUUGAAUACAUUAGCAUGGAAUAAUAAAAUAGGACGGCAUGGUUCUAUUUUGUUGGUUUCUAGGACCACCGUAAUGAUUAAUAGGGAUAGUUGGGGGCAUUAGUAUUCAAUUGUCAGAGGUGAAAUUCUUGGAUUUAUUGAAGACUAACUACUGCGAAAGCAUUUGCCAAGGAUGUUUUCAUUAAUCAAGAACGAAAGUUAGGGGAUCGAAGACGAUCAGAUACCGUCGUAGUCUUAACCAUAAACUAUGCCGACUAGGAAUCAGACGAUGUUAAUUUUUUAAUGACUCGUUUGG
rnacentral:sRNA from 1 species